UUUGCAAUGAAAAACAUAUUAUUAGGUUCAGGUUUCGCAGCCGCAGCCUGCAGCACCCUUAUUUGGCGAUAGAAGAGGAUACAUAGUUUUGAAACCAUGGCUGAAGGCGAAGACACGCUCUUCAGUAAAAUCAUUCGCAAGGAAAUUCAUGCAAAAAUAUUUUAUGAAGACGAGCAGUGUAUAGCAUUUCAUGACAUUGCACCUGAAGCCCCAACGCACUUUCUAGUGGUUCCCAGGAAACCCAUUGCUCAGCUGUCAAAAGCUGAGGAAGCUGAUGCAGCUCUUCUCGGAGGACAUGGGCCUCUCUAAGGGAUACCGGCUGGUUUUGAAUGACGGGCCCCAUGGAGGACAAGAAGCUUACCACAUUCACAUCCAUGUUCUCGGAGGCCGUCAGAUGGGCUGGCCCCCUGGUUAACCUUACGGACCAGAAAACGUCCACAUACAAAAAACAUGGCUGGGCAUUCUUUCCUGGCUGGUCUCAGUGCUGGAUUAAAACCAUUGGCUGAGCAGCUGUGCAAAGGACCACUGCUGGUCUUUUCAAUAGAUUGCUGUUUUGCAGCACUUCAAAUAUUAUUUACAACCAAAUUUUGACUACAUAAUUUAAUUAGAAUUCUUAUAUUACUUACACACAUAACUAAAAUAUGACUCUUAUAAUGCCAAGUAAACUGCAAAGCAAAGCACCCAAUGGGAAUACAGCUGACACCUAAACCAGCUAGGAAACAGAAUGCAAUAGGCUCUCAAUCUUUUUCAUAUAGAUUAUUACUGACACUCGCUCGUAGUAUUGCUUCACCGUCUGUUUGCUGCCUGGAAACAAAUAAUAACAAUAACAAAAAAAUUAAAAAGUGUUCAAAACAAA